AUCCCUAGCUGGGAAUAGAACCCUGGCUACCUGGGUGAGAGCCAGGUAUCCUAGCCACUAGACUACGUGGGA